CCGUUUAAAAUUCUACAGGUAUUUGUUUGAUGAUUAGCUUGAUUUCCAUCUCUACUAGAUAAUAAGCAUCAUGAAGCAAAGAAUUUAUUUGGUUUUAUUGAACAUUGCAUCUGCAAGCCCAAACUCAGCACCCCUACAAGAAAAACGUAUAACAAUAUACCCGUUGUUUAUAUUGGAUCUUCAUGGAUUUUAAAGAUGCCAAAGGCAUCCAUGAAGGCUGGAAGACCCCUUCAAGAGCACUCAAGAAAGAAAUCUCAAACAUGUACCACUCAGUCAAAACUUAAAAAACCAAGAGUAUUCAUCUGUCACCAUAUGCCGAAUAAGAAAUGGAAUCAAAGUAAAAGAAGAACUCAUAAGAAGAGACAGAAUCAAAAGAAGACCCAUGAUCAAAAGAAAAGGAAUCAAAACAAGUCAGCUGGUCCUGAGAAAAAGAGACUCGGGAAGAGCCCACCACUUCGUAUAACCCGUGCAGCCAGAACUAAAUAGCAAAGUCCAGAGACCUCAGAAAUAUCUGUUGUGUCUCCAGAUGCCUGGU